CCUACGGGGGGCAGCAGUAAGGAAUAUUGGUCAAUGGACGCAAGUCUGAACCAGCCAUGCCGCGUGGAGGAUGAAGGUCCUCUGGAUUGUAAACUUCUUUUAUUUGGGAAGAAACUCCCGAUUUCCAUCGGGAUUGACGGUACCAGAUGAAUAAGCACCGGCUAACUCCGUGCCAGCAGCCGCGGUAAUACGGAGGGUGCGGGCGUUAUCGGUAUUCAGUGGGCGUAGGGGGGGAGGUAAUGCGCUGGUGAAAUCUCCGGGCUUAACCCGGAAACUGCCAUUGAUACUAUUUGUCUUGAAUACUCUGGAGGUGAGCGGAAUAUGUCAUGUAGCGGUGAAAUGCUUAGAUAUGACAUAGAACACCCAUUGCGAAGGCAGCUCACUACGGAAAUAUUGACGCUGAGGCACGAAAGCGUGGGGAUCAAACAGGAUUAGAUACCCCUGUAGUC
rnacentral:rRNA from 1 species